UUCAUUUUGAGCCACAGAAUGUUGUGGAAGGACAGUGUGACUUUCGGAAUUAGGUCCUAAAAGACUUUGUGGCUCCCAUUUUCACUUUCUUCAACUCAUCCUGGAUAUCACAGGCCCCAAAAGCUACCAGAAGCAUACAGUGGUAUCACCCCUGCUGAGGACGGGAGGACAGAGCUGAGACCAGUUCUUCAAGUACCAAACUCAGAAGACUCAGGGUUGGAGGGUCUGCUUUCUCAUCACGUAGAAGAGAAACUGCCAGCUUCCCAGACACAGCAGAGGACUCUCCAUACUGUAUACCCGACCUUCAGUCAGCUGAGGCCACCCUGGGCUUUAUUGUUCAUCUCCAUGCAGAGAAGGAAGAACUGCCUCCACCCCUUGUGGUGCUACAAUGGUGCUCUGCGGUCCCGGUGGGCCAGUUGCAUUCUGGUGAGAAGCAGGAGGAGGUAACUGACCAUGCAGCUCCCUACAUUGCACUUCUGAGAGUUCUGAGUUUCGAAAGACCUACUACAUUCCAGGUACAGCAAGAAGACUGGACUCCAGAGGACAGUGGAGAAGGCCUUUAUCCUGGAUAACAGAGGUUGAGUGGGGAGACAACUAAAUAGCCUAUGGCAAAAAUCUAAAAAAAAAAAAAAAAAAAAGAAGAAAGAAAAUGUGUUAUUUCAGACUGGCGACUCCUGUCACUCAGAAGCUUCUGGACUGCUGGGUUUCUGAAUACUCACCCCUGCCAUUACCCUGGCCCUGUAGGCAGUCUGCCUACUCAGAUGUAUGUUCUAAGCAAAGCAGAGCAGUUGGCUGAGGAUUAUCCACUUUAUUCUUUGGAUCUCACUGAGCAUCACCUCCUCAGGAAGACUCUUAACAAUCUUGACAUCCUUUACCAUGUAGAGCACUUCUGGUGUCUCCCUCACACCGGAAUGUGGACUGCCUCCCUCACGUUUCUCUUCUGUUCAUAAUGGAAUGAUUAUGUGUUACCUGCUGGGUUUCUUCCUGUCCUAGACUUUAAGCUUCAUGAGGGCAAAUCCCUCGCAUUCAGGAUGACAUCCACAGUGUCUUACAGCAUGUUUGAUGCAUACUAGAUUCUUAACAAAUGCUACUGCAGAAUGAAUGGUGGCUUUUAGAAAAAAGACUGUAUGAACUGUAACAUCUGAGUGCUGAAGGGGACUUUAGAAAUCAAAGGUACUGCUCACUAGUUCUGAAGUCCCAGCUGAAGAAUUUUAACAAAUGGCUACAUAGUUCUUUUCAAACAAGCUGAAGAGAUACUGCCUGGACAUCAGCUGCUUGUUUAUUUAUGAAGAGCAUGAUGGAAAGAUACCUGUCCUGGGUCUUCUAGGACAUGGGUUUCAGUCCCAUCUGGUUCAUGGCAUUGUAGGUAAGAUGAAUGAAACACUUAUAUCUUGGGAUUUCAGUUCCUCAUGGUCAACUAGAUGAAGUUGAAUUAUACAACACUUAGUCAUUUUGCUUUUUGACCUGUUUUAUUUUUCUGUCCCAUCCUUUGUUUAUAUUGUUUACUUGUCUAAAAGAUUAAAGCUAAAAUUUCUCAUGUCACUUCCUUAUGAAUAGAUUAAUGCCAUUAUUAUGCAACUGAGUUCAUUUUCAUAGAAGUUUGCUCAUUAUAAAAGAACAAAUUUGUCCUUCCAAUUCUCUCUCUCUUGCCCUUCCACCUUCCACCAUAGGAUGAUGCAGCAAGUCAACCCUUACCAGAUACAGCCCCUUGAUCUUAAACUUCACAAAGACUGUGAAGAAAUAAAUUUCUUUUCUUUGUACCUUACCCAGUCCAUGGUACUCUGCUAUAGCAACACAAAAUAAACUAAGACAUUAGGUUAGCAGAGCUAAUGAGUGGCCAAACUUACAUUGGAAUCCUGGUCCACCUGAUUCCAAAAUACUCAUGAGCUAGGAAUAAAGCUUGUUAUGCUGACUCCAAAGCUAGUAUGUCUCUCACCACUUUGCCAUUUGAGGUUGGGGCAUUCCCCUUCUUAGAACAUAAGAGAGGAUCUGUGACUCACUGGAUAGUUGUUAGGGUCAAGUAGGAGCUCACAGAAGGAAGCACAUUGUAAAUUGUGAAGUGAGAAGCUCAUGCUCAUGAGUAGUGGCAUCGGUAUUAGUGUUAAAGACUUAACAGCCAGGUAUAAGGACAAAUGCCUCCGUAUUUCAUUGAACAAGGUAAUGGUGGAGACAGAAGCUGUCAAGAGUGGCUUCAUGGGUGAGUGGUAGUUCAGUGACAUGGUGUAUGACAUGUAUCAUGUUAGGGCAACCCCACAGCCACCUGCGACUCCUUUUCUCCUUGCUUUAUGUUCCAUAUUCCCUUAUAGGGAGCAAUGGCCACGUGACCAGUCUGACCAGUGGAAUGUAGGAAGUCCCAGGUAGAACUGGUUAAGAGAGGCUUUGCCAACAUGCCCUUCAGACCUGCAUUGAUUCUUUUGCUCCUGCACCUUUCUCUCUUCUUCCUUUCUGGAGAUGCAGCAGCUCUCAUGGGACCAACGAAGAUAAAAAAUCACACGCCAAACAGGAUGGUGGUAGGAGCCAAUUCCUUAAUGACUGCCAGUUCCAUGGUAUACAAAGAAACUCCUGUUACUGGGUCAUCUUUUCAUUACUGAAUUAAUUUUCAGUGACGUAGCUAAGAAGCAGGUAGAUGAUAACACAUGCAAUGGAACAAGAAGGUAGGCACGUUAAGGAGGUCAGGAAAGAAAGUGGCUAAAGGAGACAUCUCGUACUGCACCAAGAUACACAUGUGUGUGGACAUCAGGAUGAGGAUGGUUACUUGCCCAGCAUCAGGACCCCGUGGUCUGUGUUGGAAUCCAUCCACCCUUCUAAUUUGUGCUUGGCAGAGGGUUCCAAAGACUGCUGAGUGCCUGACUCAGAACAGGAAUUUAUUAACUCAUUCAGAAAGCAUGUCUUCAGUGUGACUCUUAGCACUGCUGAGAGGGUGAAUUUUAUUCUACCCCCAUUUCAAAGAGAAAAGUGAGAGCCAUGAAGAUAAAUAGCAUGUCCAAAGUUUCUUACCUGACUCAAGUGCAGACAACUAACUCCCAGCUCUGUGCUUUAAUUUCUAUGCUAUUCUACAAAUCAAAGUCCACCUGCUUCUGAAAACUGAUGGGACUCCCCACACUCACAAAACUGUCUCUUCUUCAUGUUCUCAUAUGCUUGCCUAAAUAUGUGGAGUCAAGAUGUAGUUGUUCAUCUCAUGGACUUCUGCAGAAGUUUGUGAGGAUUUUUUCAUUGAGGGACUAGGCCUCAUGCAGCUUCAUCCCCCAGUAUCUAAUAUAUUUUUUGAAUAAAUAUAAGUUUAAAAAUGAGUUAUCUAAUUUUAGUGGUUGGAUUUGGCACAGGGAGGCUGAUAAAGUAAAAUGCAGACUCUAGCCAUAGGAAACAAAAACGAGGUGAUCCUGAACCUGCUAAAU